GUAUGUGUAUGUGUCAGUAUGUCUGUCAGUGCGUCAGUAUGUCUGUUAGUGCAUGUGUAUGCAUGUGUCAGUAUAUCUGUCUGUGUGCCAGUAUGUCUGUGUGUGUGUGUGUGUCAGUAUAUCAGUCUGUGUGUGUCAGUGUAUGUGCCUGUGUGUGUGUGUCAGUAUUUCUCAGUGUAUGUGGGUGUCAGUAUAUCUGUCAGUGUGUGGGUGUCAGUAUUUCUGUCAGUAUAUGUGUGUCAGUAUGUUGAUCAGUGUAUGUGUCUGUGUGUGUGUGUCAG